CCAGGCCAGCCUCGCGGUGUCGGCCUUCCGCUCCCUCUGGCGGAGGCGAGGGGCCAGGCAGCGUUCGGAGAGAGACUGGAGACCCGGAACUUCAAGCUAAGCCACAGAGAUAGAGAUUUAAGUAAAGGACCCCCAAUCACCGGGCUGUGAGAGAACAGCAACGGUGCACGCGGGCGGAACUUGCCCCGGAUCGGUCUGGCUUCUCCUAUCAGACUUUCCCUAUGGUUUUCCAAAGCUAGAGCAGACUUCCAUUCUUCCUGUGGUGCACCUUGACUGACCACAUCCUGAUCUGCGUCGGGAGAAAAUGCACAUGGCAAGUAAUCUUGGACAUGAAGCAUCCUUUAGCGAGGGGGCUCAUCAAGUUCAAAAAGAUAACCUGAAACUGUCUCCUCCAAUGCCACAUCAUAAUGAUAUUACCUAGAAUUUUAUUUACAGGUACUGGACGGACAAUGAUUACACCAAGCCAAUAUGAAGUGAAGAAACGGAAAAUUAAGUGAUUUCCUCCAGUGCGUCCAUUUCACACCACUGCAUCUUGCUCGGGUCCCAUACGUAUGAGCUGAAGACAACCCGUGGUUUCAGCAAGAGGUUACCAGGGUCUUUUCUUGUGGUGGUUCCUGUCGUUUCUGGCCCUGGGAACCACACUUCUCGUUAGCUUCUAUACUUGCUCCAGGUUUGGUUUUGGGGGAGGGAGCUAACUGCAAAAGGAUUUCCAACUUGUCUAAGCAAGGUCUCGGCCUAAUCUCAUUUACUCAUUGACAGAGUAUCUUUACUUUUAGUAGCUAGGGAAGAUACUGGAAAUGCCCUCAGCCUUCUUAUCGAACCUUCAGAAUUCUGCAGGAGCUACACAAUGACUGUCUGUUUCCUAACAUUUUUAAAUUCUGUGAAUGGCUACUCGGAUAAAUAACGUGGGAUUAUUGAACACAUUAUUGAACAUUAUAAUUUUUUUUAAUUUUCUGUAUUUGUUAUCACAUAUUUUGUAUUGCCUAAUUAUUCAAGUCAUUAGUGGCUGUUACUUAAUUAUCAAGAAAAAGCAAGCCUGGUCAAGUCAGUGAUAUAUGUAGGCAGUCCUUGCUUUGUGCAGGUCUAUAGAAUGUGUGAACUGAAGUCAUACAAAGCAGUGUUAAUAAUCAAUGCGAAGAAAUUAUGAUCGUUCUAUGACCUUUAAAUUUUUUUUGUUAAACAUUAAAACCUCCCUGAUUAUUAGUUAUAAAUAUAUAGGGAAAUGAAAAAAUGUAGUAAAACUAACAUCUCUUUAGUACCCUGUAAGUGCCUUAUAUGCUCUGAUAAAAUGUUUAACUUUUGUGAGGAAGGUUAAUAGUAACCCCAGGAGAGUUUCAGCCGGGAGUGGGGGUGAGUCACAUUUGGUGGCAAAUCAUAUUUGCAUUUACAAAUGAUUACCCUGGCCCUGUUGGAGAGGGACUGGAGGGUGAUAGUUUGCGAUGGGCAUUAUAAGAAGGGGCUGGGAGCAAGGGAGUGCCAUAAGGGGCCGUUUCAGGGAUCCAUGUGAAAAAAAUAAUAGGAGUUUGAAGGAAGACAGCGGCAGGGAAAGGAGAUAAGAUGCAUGUCAGGAAAACUUGGAAGUAGAAGGAUUGAGACUUGGUAACUGGAUGUGAUGUGAAGGAAGAGACGUAUAGAAUGGUCUUCAGGCUUCUGGCUCAGAUGACUAGAUGGGAAGCUGAAGGUGACACAUUCCUUCAUGUAGGUGAAAAAGAGGAGAAGCAGGUUUAGGGGGAAAUUUAGCUAUGGAGAUGCUGAGUUUGAACCGAUAGUGAGAUGUCUCAGUGGAAAUAUCUAGAGAUAAAUGGAUAUACAUGGAUGUGCGUUCAGGAUACAGAUGUGGGUGAUAUUCACACAUAUGUUAUGCAUAUACAAUAUGUGCACAUA